GACGAACGCUGGCGGCGUGCUUAACACAUGCAAGUCGAACGGAAAGGCCCUGCUUUUGUGGGGUGCUCGAGUGGCGAACGGGUGAGUAACACGUGAGUAACCUGCCCUUGACUUUGGGAUAACUUCAGGAAACUGGGGCUAAUACCGGAUAGGAGCUCCUGCUGCAUGGUGGGGGUUGGAAAGUUUCGGCGGUUGGGGAUGGACUCGCGGCUUAUCAGCUUGUUGGUGGGGUAGUGGCUUACCAAGGCUUUGACGGGUAGCCGGCCUGAGAGGGUGACCGGCGACAUUGGGACUGAGAUACGGCCCAGACUCCUACGGGAGGCAGCAGUGGGGAAUAUUGCACAAUGGGCGGAAGCCUAAUGCAGCAACGCCGCGUGCGGGAUGACGGCCUUCGGGUUGUAAACCGCUUUCGCCUGUGACGAAGCGUGAGUGACGGUAAUGGGUAAAGAAGCACCGGCUAACUACGUG
rnacentral:rRNA from 1 species